rnacentral:rRNA from 1 species
UGGCUCAGGACGAACGCUGGCGGCGUGCUUAACACAUGCAAGUCGAACGGUAAGGCCCUUCGGGGUACACGAGUGGCGAACGGGUGAGUAACACGUGGGUGAUCUGCCCUGCACUUUGGGAUAAGCCUGGGAAACUGGGUCUAAUACCGAAUAUGACCAUGGACUUCACGGUUUGUGGUGGAAAGCUUUUGCGGUGUGGGAUGGGCCCGCGGCCUAUCAGCUUGUUGGUGGGGUAAUGGCCUACCAAGGCGACGACGGGUAGCCGGCCUGAGAGGGUGACCGGCCACACUGGGACUGAGAUACGGCCCAGACUCCUACGGGAGGCAGCAGUGGGGAAUAUUGCACAAUGGGCGCAAGCCUGAUGCAGCGACGCCGCGUGGGGAUGACGGCCUUCGGGUUGUAAACCUCUUUCACCAGGGACGAAGCGAGAGUGACGGUACCUGGAGAAGAAGGACCGGCCAACUACGUG